rnacentral:lncRNA from 1 species
GGACAAUAUAAACAAAAACCAUAGAAGGUCAUUUUCAUUAAAAGUAGACGAAUAAACUUAGUGCAAGAUUGCACAAAGGGUUGAAGAGCCACACUUAUUUAAAGUGUAAUAAAAGGCUACUAAAAGCCAAUUAAAACACAACAUUAGCUACACUUUUAAGAAAGGUAGAAACUUUAUUAUGUGUGACUCUCCAUCCUUAAUUUAUUCUAAUCUCUAAUUAGUUAUCCAUUAUCUCUUCUUCAAGCAAAGCUGCAGCCAAAGUUUUUGCUUCCUCAGCUAAAGUUUCAGCUCCUGUUUUGAUCAUCUUCUCAUCAAACACACAUGGCUUAGUGCAUAGACACCUUCUGAGGAUUUUGCUACAAUGACCAUCAGUAAAUUUCUCACUGAUACAAGCUUUUCUGCAUGGUGGUUUGGUAAGGCAUAUUCCAGGGAAUGUAUUGCUUUCUCUUUUGCAAUUUUUAGCUUCCACAUCUACAAUCAUUUACAAGUACUUACCAAUGUUAGAACAAAAGAAAAGAUAGAAUUGAAAUAAACCAUAAAAAAAACAGGAAUAUAUUCAAGGUUCUUAAACAUUCAUACAUAUAUACAUACAUGUGUGUAUAUAUAUAAGGGCAACAUAGUGCAUAAAGGGUCCUGAAAAUCGGGCCGCAUCCCAAGGGAUGUAAUAUAGAUCGACAUCAUACCCUAAAAAAUAUACUGCCCCUGUACACUAUUUUGGAAGAACUAAUGCGAACACAAUUUUUUCAGGAUUUUUCAAAGUUACCUAUACUAUAGAUUAAUUCGUCAUUUUAACAACAAAUACAUCAAAAUGAUAACCACACUUGAUAACUAAACCAGUCAUAGCUUUUAUAUUUAUUUUCUUAAAAGUAGACUUGGGUAAUUAAGUGACUGGAUAGCAAGAAAUAGAAUUAUAUUUUAUUAUUUUUAUGGGGUUUUAGAGGAAUAAAUGGAGACAAACCAUAGGCAACAAAGAGCAUCAUUGCCAAGAUAGCAAAUGCCAUGAAGCACAAGGAGCGAGCCAUAGUUACUUUGAAUGAGUAAGAAAGGAUAGGAAUUUUAAUAAUAAGAAAAAUUGCAAUUCAGAGGUGUGAAUGAAUACUAACUCAAUAGAGGUAUUUAUAGGCGCUGAAGUAAGAGUAGAUAAUUUUUGAAGCAAAAAGUAAAUAAAUAAAAGGAAAUAAUUAUUGCACGGGAAUUGUUGGUAAUUUGGAGUUUGGAGAUACAUCUUUCUUUUUCUUUUUCUUUUGGUCUUUAACCAAUGUCCAUAUUAGGACCUCAACUACUGUUGACUGGGCCCGUGUAUGGUUAAAAAACCAACGACAACAAUAAUAAUAAUAAUAUGAUAAAAUUUUACUUGUGGAAUCUAGGGAAGUUAGUGCGUAUGCAGACUUUACCCAUAUUCCAAAGGGUAAAUAGUGAAACCUGAAAUAGAUCGUUGCCCUUCGAUUUAACUCAAACCUGAAAUAGAUUGUUUGGUGUCCUAAGCUCAAAUAGUCAUAUGGUACAAAUUAUUUGGUGUACCUUUACAAAAUCGAGGCUUCGAAUUUCAUGUUUGUCUUGUUACUUUUAUAAGGUAAUUCAAGUUAAUAUCAAGUCGCCCCAUUGGUCUCAUGCAUGGGCGGUGUUAGGAGUGUAAGGGAGUAUGGAUAAAUAUCAUUCGUCAUAAAAUUAUAUUAUAGAAGUAUAGCUCGGUGAAUAAAGCAUCUCGCAUUCAUUAAGGGCUUGAGAAAGAGCCUCACCCCUAAGAAUAUGACGAAGACGGUCUCCUUAUGCUUUAAUCCGAUGCUAAAUUGGUGUUUUGAUGUUCUUUUGAGCAUUUCGAAGAUUGAGAGAAGUUUGAAUGAUAUUAUGGGAUAUGAUGGUAGGUUUGGUUGAGGUCCCGAGGAUCUCAGGUAUGUUUCGGAUGCUCAAUAGGUCAUUUUUUAGAACUUAGAAAAUUACAGAAAAUGUUGUAGCAGCCAGUUCUAGUUUCCCGCUUCACGUUCACAAGUGGGGUCUCGUGUUCGCGAAGAGGAGCUGGGGCUGGUGAGGAAUUUGUGCUUCGUAUUCGCGAAGUGUCUCCCGCGUUCGCGAAGCUGGAAGUUCUAUACCUACGCGUUCGUGAUUUCCCGCGUUCGCAUAGGAGGAAGAAAUUUUGAAUCGCGUUCGUGUCUCAUACAUCGCGUUCGCAAUAGAGAAAUUUGGGCCCAAGUGAAAUUGUGCUUCGCAAACACGAUGGGCCUUCGCAUUCGCGAAGAAGGAAGACCAGGGUAGUUUUUAAAUAGCCAUCCGCGACCCUUUUUCAUUUUCUCACCAUUUUUGAACGAGAUUGAAGCAUUUGAGGUUGAUUAUUGAGGAAACCACAGGGCAAUAACUUGUAAAUAAUAUUUUAACUUCACAAAUAAUUUAUAUGUGAUUAAAGGCCUCAUUAGUGGUGAAAAGUUUGGAAAAAAUGGGUAAUUAGGGCUUGAGAUUAAGAGACCUUAAAAUGGGUAUUUAAGGGGUCAAUUGAACUUCAAUUUCAGUGUUCUUGUUACGUAUAGACUCGUGCGAGUAUGAGGAUUAUGAAAAUAUAAAUUUGAAGUUUGGAGAUACAUCUUCUUCUUUUUUUGCUUUUGGUCUUUUAACCAAUGUCCAUAUUAGGACCUCAACUACUGUUGAUUGGGCCCGUGUAUAGUUAAAAAAUAAUGACAACAAUAAUAAUAAUAUGGUAAAAUUUUACUUGUGGGAUCUAUGGAAGGUAAUGCAUAUGCAGACUUUAUCCAUAUUCCGAAGGGUAGAUAGUCCGUUUUUAGAAGACCCUGGCUCAAAAAAACAAAAGAGACAAAAGGAGACAAUAUUAGUAUCAUCAUAGAAAUCAUAGGAAAAAUAGGAACAACAUGAAAUCUAGAAGAAAGCUGCAAAGUAAAGCAUAAUUGAUAGCUAGUAAAUAGGUCAUGAAUUGAAAAGCGUAAUAGUAAGACACAACGUUAACUUUGCCACUAUCUGUCUUAGAACCCUGCCAGCCUAGUCUCACAAAAAUACGAAUUAAGGCAAGAAUCAACUACCUUCUAACCUAGAACUCAAAUACAUAUGUAUAGUUAAAAGUACACCUUAUAAUAAUAUGCUCAUGACUUGAAAUCGAGAUUUCUUUUUAAAGGUGUAGGAAUGAUAUUAAUUGCACUACAAUUCGUGAUGGUUUAAAAGUAUCCCAACGUUGUAGCAAAAAUAGAACUUAUGCUAAUGAUAAAUGUUGUUUUAGGCACACAACGACACAAGAAGAGGGUUAGCUGGAUAGUUAACACUUGAAAAUUCUUCCGAAGUUUUUCAAAAAUUUACUUGACCUAUAGAUUGUUUGGUGUCCUAAGCUCAAAGAGUCAUAUGGUACAAAUUAUUUGGUGUACCUUGAUAAAAUCGAGGCUUCAAAUUUCAUGUUUGUCUUGUUACUUUAUAAGGUAAUUCAAGUUAAUAUCAAGUCGCCCCAUUGGUCUCAUGCAUGGGCGGUGUUAGGAGUGUAAGGGAGUAUGGAUAAAUAUCAUUCGUCAUAAAAUUAUAUUAUAGAAGUAUAGCUCGGUGAAUAAAGCAUCUCGCAUUCAUUAAGGGCUUGAGAAAGAGCCUCACCCCUAAGAAUAUGACGAAGACGGUCUCCUUAUGCUUUGAGGGCUCGGGAAAGAGCCGCACCCCCAAGAAUAUGACGUAGACGGUCUCCCUAAUGCCACGACUCAAUCCCGUGAGCUAUAGGUCACACGGAGACCAUUUUAUUGUUACUCUAAGUGUAAUGGUCCGGCCGGUCGUUUAAAGAAUUAAUGCUCUAAUCCUCUAUUAACUGCUUUUUCCGUAUUUAUUUAUGCUAUUUUGGAUUGUAGGGAUGUUCGGUCUUAAGUUUCAGAGAGCUUUGCAACACUUAGUCCCUAAAUGAGAGCUUAGGUGUUGGUAAAUUUGACUGUAGUCGGAAAAGUAUGAAGACGGCCUCGGAAUAGAAUUUCGAUGGUUCCGUUGGGUGAUUUCGGGCUUAGGGGCGUGUUCGGAUUGUGGUUUUGAGGCUCGUGGCUGCGUUGGAUGAUUUCGGGCUUAGAGACGUGUUAGGUUUGUGGUUUGGAGGCCCGUAGCUAAUUUAGGCUUGAAAUGCGGAAAGUCGAAUUUUUGAAGUUUCCGGUUCGAUAGUGAGAUUUUGAUCUAAGAAGAUGUGUGUUAUGUGCCAGCAACAAGACGUGUUCGGAUUGUGGUUUUGAGGCCCGUAGCUAAUUUAGGCUUGAAAUGCGGAAAGUCGAAUUUUUGAAGUUUCCGGUUCGAUAGUGAGAUUUUGAUCCGAGGGUCGGAAUAAAAUUUCAGAAGUUGGAGUCGCUCCAUAGUGUUGAGUGUAACGUAUGUGCAAAAUUUCAGGUCAUUCUGACGAGGUUUGAUAAACCUUUUUUGUCGAAAGCAAAUUUUGAGAGUUUUUGAAGUUCUUAGGCUUUAAUCCGAUGCUAAAUUGGUGUUUUGAUGUUGUUUUGAGCAUUUCGAAGAUUGGGAGAAGUUUGAAUGAUAUUAUGGGAUAUGAUGGUAAGUUUGGUUGAGGUUCCGAGGAUCUCGGGUGUGCUUUGGAUGCUCAACAGGUUAUUUUUUAGAACUUAGAAAAUUACAGAAAAUGUUGCAGCAGCCAGUUCUAGUUUCCUGCUUCGCGUUCGCAAGUAGGGUCUCGUUUUCGCGAAGAGGAGCUGGGGCUGGUGAAGAAUUUGUGCUUCACAUUUGUGAAGUGUUUCCCGCGUUCGCGAAGCUGGGAGUUCUAUACCUACGCGUUCGUGAUGGCUUUCUCGCGUUCGUGUAGGAGGAGGAAAUUUUGAAUCGCGUUCGUGUCCCAGACAUCUCGUUCGCAAUAGAGAAAUUUGGGCCCAAGUGAAAUUGUGCUUUGCAAACACGAGGGGCCUUCCGCAUUCGCGAAGAAGGAAGACCCGGGUAGUUUUUAAAUAGCCAUCCGCGACCCUUUUUCAUUUUCUCACCAUUUUUGAACGAGAUUAAAGCUUUUGAUGUUGAUUAUUGAAGAAAUCACAGGGGAAUCACUUGGAAAUAAUAUUUUAACUUCACAAAUAAUUUAUAUGUGAUUAAAGGCCUCAUUAGUGGUGAAAAGUUUGGAAAAAAAUUGUACUUAGGGCUUAAGAUUAAGAGACCUUAAAAAGGGUAUUUAAGGGGUCAAUUGAACUUCAAUUUCAGAGUUCUUGGUAUGUAUAGACUCGUACGAGUAUGAGGAUUAUGAAAAUAUAAAUUUCACUCGAUUUUUAGAAGUGGGUCCGAGGGCACUUUGCUUAUUUUAUCUAAUUUCGUGUAUUAACUUAGAAUUUAUUAGUAGAAUCAGUUACUUGAAGUUUUAUUACAUUAUGCAAUUGAGUUGAAUAGAUCUGGGCCGUUUGGAGUCGAUUACUCGUGGCAAGAACGUACUUUCAGGUUGAUUAUUGAGCCGGUUCGAGGUAAGUAGUUUGCCUAACUUUUUAUUGGGGACCUCCCACAUAGGAUUUGGUAUUAUUGUUAAUUAAGAUUCCUUGUAAGUAAGGUGACGAGUGCGUACAUGUGCUAAUUGUUAAAAUUUUGAUUUUUGUUAAUUACUAGUAUGUUUCCUUUCCUGUUUAUAUUAAUUGCACCUUAAACUUGUUGUUAGCUUAGGAAAUCAUAUCUAAGUGAUUUACUUGCUUAAACUGUUUUUACCUGAAUUCUGUGCAGCAUGCCAGACUUGAAUUACCUAUUUGCCUUAAUAGGAAACUGACAUUUGCUGAAUAUAUUUCCAUGUUUCUACUUUAUAUUCACAUUUGGGACUACAGAUGUGAGAUUCCAGUAGAUUCACUUGCCUGUUUAUUUGGGACUAUGGAUGUCGGAUUUCGGUAGAUCCCCUUGCACAGUUAUAUGGAACUACGGGACUGCACCCCGUAGAUUUUUCCAGUACUGGGUAUAUACAAAGAGCAUCAUUGCCAAGAUAGCAAUUGCCAUGAAGCACAAGGAGCGAGCCAUAGUUACUUUGAAUGAGUAAAAAAGGAUAGGAAUUUUAAUAAUAAGAAAGAUUGCAAUUCAGAGGUGUGAUUGAAUAGUAACUCAAUAGAGGUAUUUAUAGGCGCUGAAGUAAGAGUAGAUAAUUUUUGAAGCAAAAAGUAAAUAAGUAAAAGGAAAUAAUUAUUGCACGGGAAUUGUUGGUAAUUUGAAGUUUGGAGAUACAUCUUCUUUUUUUUCUUUUGGUCUUUAACCAAUGUCCAUAUUAGGACCUCAACUACUGUUGAUUGGGCCCGUGUACAGUUAAAAAAUAACGACAACAAUAAUAAUAAUUUGGUAAAAUUUUACUUGUGGGAUCUGGAGAAGGUAGAGCUUAUGCAGACUUUACCCUUAUUACGAAGGGUAGAUAGUCUGUUUUCAGAAGACCCUGGCUCAAGAAAACAAAAGAGACAAAACGAGACAAUAUUAGUAUCAUCAUAGAAAGCAUAGGAAAAAUAGGAACAACAUGAAAUCUAGAAGAAAGAUGCAAAGUAAAGCAAAAAUGAUAGCUAGUAAAUAGGUCAUGAAUUGAAAAGCGUAACUUUGCCACUAUCUGUCUUAGAAUCCUGCCAGCUUAGUCUCACUAAAUACGAAUUAAGGUAAGAAUCAACUACCUUCUAACCUAGAACUCUAAUACAUGUGUAUAGUUAAAAGUACACCUUAUAAUAAUAUGCUCAUGACUUUAAAUCGAGAUUUCUGUUUAAAGGUGAAGGAAUGAUAUUAACUGCACUACAAUUCGUGAUGGUUUAAAAAUAUCCCAACGUUUUAGCAAAAAUAGAACUUAUGCUAAUGAUAAAUGUUGUUUUAGGCACACAACGACACAAGAAGAGGGUUAGCUGGAUAGGUAACAUUUAAAAAUUCUUCCGAAGUUUUUCAAAAAUUUGCUUGACCUAUAGAAUCUAGAUGAUAGAAUUGAUUCUCAAAUCUGUAGAUCACAGGGAGACCAUUUUAUUGUUACUCUAAGUGUAAUGGUCCGGCCGGUCGUUUUAAGAAUUAAUGCUCGGAUCUUCUAUUAACUGCUUUUUCCGUUUUUAUUUCUGCUAUUUUGAAUUGCCGGAAUGUUCGGUCUUAAGUUUCGGAGAGUUUUGCAACACUUAGUCCCUAAAUGAGAGCUUAGGUGCUGGUAAAUUUGACUGUAGUCGGAAAAGUAUAAAGACGGCCUCGGAAUAGAAUUUUGAUGGUUCCGUUGGGUGAUUUAGGGCUUAAGGGCGUGUUCGGAUUGUGGUUUUGGGGCUCGUAGCUAAUUUAGGCUUGAAAUGCAGAAAGUCAAAUUUUUGAAGUUUCCGGUUCGAUAGUGAGAUUUUGAUCCGAGGGUCGGAAUUUUCAGAAGUUAGAGUCGCUCCAUUGUGUUGAAUGUAACGUAUAUGCAAAGUUUCAGGUCAUUCGGAUGAGGUUUGAUAAACUUUUUUCUCGAAAGCAAUUUUUGAGAGUUUUUGAAGUUCUUAGGUUUUAAUCCGAUGCUAAAUUGGUGUUUUGAUGUUGUUUUGAGCGUUUCGAAGAUUGGGAGAAGUUUGAAUGAUAUUAUGGGAUAUGAUGGUAGGUUUGGUUGAGGUCCCGAGGAUCUUGUGUGUGUUUCUGAUGCUCAACAGGUCAUUUUUUGGAACUUAGAAAAUUACAGAAAAUGCUGCAGCAGCCAGUUCUAGUUUCCUGCUUCACGUUCUCAAGUGGGGUCUCGAGUUCGCGAAGAGAAGCUCGGGCUGGUGAGGAAUUUGUGCUUCGCAUUCGCGAAGUGUCUCCCGCGAUCGCAAAGCUGGGACUUCUAUACCUACGCGUUCGUGAUGGAUUUCCCGCGUUCGCGCAUUCGCGUAGGACGAGAAAAUUUUGAAUCGCGUUCGUGUCCCAGACACCGCGAUCGCAAUAGAGAAAUUUGGGCCCAAAUGAAAUUGUUCUUCGCAAACGAGAGGGGCCUUCCGUAUUCGCGAAGAAGGAAGACCUGAGUAGUUUUUAAAUAGCCAUCCGCGAGCCUUUUCAUUUUCUCACCAUUUUUGAACGAGAUUGAAGCUUUUGAGGUUGAUUAUUGAGGAAACCACAUGGGAAUCGCUUGGAAAUAAUAUUUUAACUUCACAAAUCAUUUAUAUGUGAUUAAAGGCCUCAUUACUGGUGAAAAGCUUUGAAAAAAUGGGUAUUUAGGGCUUGAGAUUAAGAGACCUUAAAAUGGGUAUUUAAGGGGUCAAUUGAACUUCAGUUUCGGUGUUCUUGUUAUGUAUAGACUCGUGCGAGUAUGAGGAUUAUGAAAAUAUAAAUUUCACUCAAUUUUGAGACGUGGGCCCGAGGGAACAUUGGUUAUUUUAUCUAAUUUCGCGUAUUAUCUUAGAAUUUAUUUGUAGAAUCAGUUACUUGAAGUGUUAUUUACAUUACGCAAUUGAGUUGAAUAGAUCUCGGCCAUUUGGAGCGAUUACUCGUGGCAAGAACGUGCUUUCCGGUUGAUUAUUGAACCGGUUCGAGGUAAGUGGAUUGUCUAACCUUUUAUUGGGGACCUCCCACUUUGGAUUUGGUAUUAUUAUUAAUUAAAAUUCCUUGCAAGUGAGGUGACGAGUGCGUACUUGUGCUAAUUGUUAAAAAAUUGAUUUUUGUUAAUUACUAGUAUGUUUCCUCUCAUGUUUAUAUUAGUUGCACCUUAAGUCUGUUGUUAGCUUAGGAAAGCAUAUCAAAGUGAUUUAAUUACUAUACUUGCUUAAACUGCUUUUACCUGAAUUCUGUGCAGCAUGUUAGACUUGAAUUACCUAUUUGCCUUAAUAGGAAACUAACAUUUGCUGAAUAUAUUUCCAUGUUGCUACUUUAUAUUCACAUUUGGGACUACGGAUGUGAGAUUCCGAUAGAUCCACUUGCCUGUUUAUUUGGGACUACGGAUAUGGGAGUUCGGUAGAUCCCCUUGCACAGUUAUAUGGAACUACGGGACUGCACCCCGUAUGUUUCUCCAGUACUAGGUAUUUACAUUUGGGGACUACCAAACGGGAUUCUAGUAGGUCCCCGACGCAAUAUGAGUUGGACUUCGAGACGACACCUGGGAGAUCCACUGAACAUUUACAUUGGAGGCUACAAGACGGUAUCCUGGUAUAUCCCUUGAUUGCUGGACAUUUUAUUUGGGUGCUACAGGAUGGUCUCAUGGUAGAUCCCCAAUUGCUAUCUCUGUGUUGAGUUGUGUUCCUUUAGUGAUUAUUUUGCCUCUGUACUAGUUGUCGUUGUUCUUUCUAUUCUAGGUUUAUUUUUACUGUUGCACUUAAUUAUACUGUAUGGCGCUGCACUAUUCCAUUUUGUAUUUUAUUUAACCUCAAUAAGGCCCUGACCUUCCUCCUAACUACCAGCUGAGGUUAGGCUUGGCACUUACUGAGUACCGUUGUGGUGUACUCAGGUCAUUUCUGCACAUGUUUUUCAUGUGCAUAGCCAGGUACUUUCACUCAGUCUUAUCAUCCUUGAAGUUAGGCGCUUUUGUAGAGACUUCGAGGUAUAUCUUCUUUGUUCGUAGAGAGGAGUCUCUUUCUAUCUUUCUGUAAUAGUAUAGCCCUUCAAUACUUCCCUUUUGUUAGACAUUUCUAGGGUUAAAGCUUUUUAUGUAUCUCUUAGCUUGUGAUUCAUGGGGUUCCGUAUUUUGGGAGUGUUAGGUUGAGAUUUUGUACUGUUAUGUGUCAGGCAACAUCUUAAACACUAUCUCAUUUUGUCAUUUUGGUUUUAUAUUAUUUUCUUUCCACAAAAUGUUUCUUUUUCGCAAUUGUUAGGCUUACAUAGUCGUAGAGACUAGGUGCUGCCACGAUAGUUCAUGUUAGGGCAAAUCGGGGUCGUGACAAGUUGGUAUCAGAGCUCUAGGUUCAUAGGAGUCAUGAAUCAUAAGCCGGUUUACCAGAACUGCCGGGGCCAGAACCUAGAGCCCUGAUACCAACUUAUCAUGAUCUGGAUUUUCUACUCUUAGGAAUCGUGAUGGCACCUACUAAUGUGAUCUAGGCAAGCAAAUUAUGGAACAAAUACCUUUUUUACCCUAAUAUUACUUUUAAAAUAUUUAAUGUGAUAGCAUAUAAACAACAAAAAUUUAAAGUAAGUUGAAGAAAAGUAAUAAAAUAUCUUAAUAUACAUCUUGUACAAAGUUUGAACAUCAACCUCUAGGAACUGGUGUCACAGUACCACAGACGAUCUAAGAUUUACCACAUACAAUGUCUGAAAUAAAAAAUAUGCUAUUUCGGAAUUUAAGGACAUGAAAAAGGGAUAAAACGGAUAAUAGGAGACGGCAGGGCCUGCGGGCGCCUACAGGUCUACCUUGGAUCUCCAUGGACUGAAGUCAGCCACCCAAUCUAUAGUUCAAAAAUUGCUCCAUGAUCUGCACAUAGUGCAGAGUAUAGUAUCAACACAACAGACUGCAUGUGCCGGUAAGUUCAGCCUAACCUUAGCGAAGUAGUGGCGAGGCUAGGACUAGACUACCAAAAAACCUGUGCAAUUACACUAUAUACAGCGGAAAAGAAGAACAUUAAUAAACAGUCAAAUAUGGGAGGGGUAACAUGUUGAUGGUCCCUUAUUACCCUGUCUGUAAGGUGGUCUGUAUAAGGACUGUGAAGACAUGUGUGUCCCUGUCUGAGAAUCCUGUUGUCGUUGUUGUUGUAAUCCCUGGUUUCCUCUUAUCUUGACCUUCUUACGUGAGUCACUAGUUGCACGCUCUUCACGCCCUUUGUUUUCAAUCUUUCAAGCAAGGUCGACUACAUUAGAGUAGGAUAAAGUCUUCAUCUGUGGAGCUACUGCAGUGUAUAGACGACCAACCAAUCCAUCAACAAACCUCUGAAUUCGAUCUUCUUCCGUAGGCACUAAGUGAGGAAUAUAUAUAUAGUCAACUAACCAAACUUAGUAUUAUAUGUUGACACAUCCAUAUCUAGAGUCAGAACCAAUCUCUCAAUGCCCUAAGCAUGUUGUUGCAUCAGACAGUCUGGAAGAAAAUGAUUCUUGAACAACUUAAUGAACUCGUCUCAUGUCAAUGGUGGUGCUCCUGCCGACUUUCCUAACAAUACAGUUUCAUACCAUGUGUCGGCCAUAUCCUCUAGUUUUUAUGCUGAGAGCUCCACGGCUCUCUCACCAGAACACCCAAGAGCACGUAAUGCCUUAAGUUUCUCAUCCAAGAAACAUUGAGGAUCUGCUGAAUUAUUAGAACCUAUGAAUUUUGGUGAUUUCUAUUUCAGGAACUCGUGUAGGGAUACUUCCUUAUUCCCGAAAGGCUGAGUCUGUGUAGGUACUUGUGUCUGUAAAGUAGUAUGAGGAGUUGAACUUCCUCCCUGAGUAGGCACCAAUGCCUCUAACACAUUCAAUAACCUUGCCACUGCAUUUGCAGGUAAGACAACAGUAGGUACAACAGUUGGCACUGGUGGUGGAGCAUUCUGAACUCCCUGCUCUUGCACUUGAUCUGGCAUAACAGCUUAGGUUUAACCCAUGUUCCCAACUUGAGGUGGAGGAGCAGUCUGUCUCCUAGUUUGAUGAACCCCAACUUGACCUCCACCCCAGGUAGUACCACGUCCAGCGGAUGAGGGUGUUCGUGUCCUAGCCAUAUGCGAAAGAAAUAUUUCAAAGUCAAUCUCAAGUUAUCUCAAGGCACGGUCAAAGAAUGAAAGAAGGGAAAACAUUCCUAGAUGUUCAGUAGCCUCAAGAUCAUAAGUAUGCACGACUACAUACCCAUGAACAAGACUCUACUUAACAUUGCUUCAUGUCUCAUUAGUUAAAGCCUAAGCUCUGAUACCAACUUUGUCACGACCAAAAUUUAGGAUUGUGACUGGCGCUUAGGAGCAAGUGCUCUCAAGUAUGCUUCAUCGGUAAUUUUAUAGAAAAUCAGACAGAGUUUUCUCUGUUUCUGGACUAUCCCAAAAAUGUCUCUCUCUCAAUCAGCAACCAAACAUCCUACUAUUAUAUCAAACAAUGGACAACUUAUCAAUUUUAACAAAACAGAAGUCUCCACCAUUACUAAUCAGCCCACUAGCAAUCAGAAAUGCUAAUUAUCUCCAACCUUAAUACUACAGAACGAUACUCAACAUAAGACUAAUAGCAAAAUAAUACUCUUGACACUAAAAGAAUGACUAUGGAGAGACUCUAAGAAUUCAAAGAAAGACCAUAACAAUUGAAAAAAAUCUCCGCCUACGCGAACAAGCGCGAGGCUCACCAAGAAUUUUCAACCUGUGCACUCAAAUUAACGAAGUGCUCGCCUGUGUCAAUAACUGUCUCUAAAAAAGAUUUUGCCUAAAAAUACUAAUUAUCUCCAACUUUAAUACUACAAAACCAUACUCAACAUAAGACUAAUAGCAAAAUAAUACUCACGACGCUAAAAGAAUAACUAUGGAGCGACUCUAAGAAUUCAAAGAAAGACCAUAACAAUUGAUAAAAAUCUCUUCACACGCGAACAAGUGCGAGGCUCACCAAGAACUUUUAGCAUGUGUGCUCUAAUUAACGAAAUGCUCACCUGUGUCAACUGUUGUCUCUGAAAAAAAUAGCGAGGAAUGAGUCGCUAGCUCACUGAGUAAUAACACUUAUCCACAACCGUUUUUAUUUAGGGACAAGUCAGAAACAUGCUAGUAUCUCAAAGAAAAAAUAAUAUAAAAACACCCUUUGAGAAAUAAUAAAUAAUUUUGAAUCUCAUCACGCUUUUCUUGUAGUAAAAUAUAAUUAAAAAUUCAGUAAUAAGAUCGGUAACCACUGUAUGAUAUCAGUAUUAACAUUUUGGGAGGUUUUAAUACGGAUCAUGUAAUCGGUAUAACUGUGGACUUCUUCGCAAGAAGUCAAAUAUAACGGUAGUCCCUACUCAAGGGAAAUCAGUAACAGUAUGCUAGUUCUACCUUCCCACUAGCGAGGGCUAUUACGGUAAUCGGUAAUUACAAGGUUCACCAGGUCUAACAAACCCGUCGUUAGCUACGGGAUCCUUCAAUGUCUACUCCCAUUUAUACUUGUCUCUGUAAUCCGUAUAUACUCGUGAAAAUAUUUUAAAACAAUAUAGGUAUUUCGGUUCUUAUCAAAUCAUAUAAUUUCUUUUUGAUAACGGUAAAUUCAAGUAAUGGUAAAACAGAUCUACUGAUAACGAAAAUAUUUAAAAUCAUGGUAUUCAUCUCAAAUAACUAUUUCGGUAUCAUAUCAAGUAAAAGACUUGUCCCACACGCAACACAAAAUAAUGGGUAACAUAUUCAUAUUAAAAAUCGUAAAUCAUGCACGUUAUGAAAACACAAAUUGCGGUAAGAUUACUACUCACAGUACAUGUGCCUAAACACCAACUGCUUCACCUCAAGUUACUCGUACAGUUUCCUCCAAUCAAUCUAUAAUUACAUAAUAUCGAUCUCAUGUUAAUUUCCUUAUUUAGGGUAAUUCAUAGUUAUUUAAGAAUACCCAAUCAUCGGGGUUCAUAUUUGAAUCUUAAUUUUUGGAUUUAUAUUUACCCUCAUAUGAGUAAUUACUAAUUUAUCAACUCCAACCAAUUCAUAUAAUUAAUUACUCCAAAUUUCAUAAAGUUUUAUUGAUUAUUUAGGAAGAAAAUUCUCAAUUGUGUGAACGAACUAGUGUAGUUUCUAUUACUUUGUAGAAUCUUCUAAUCAAGAAAAUCAAAAUUCAAAUCUACGAGAAGAAAAAGUUCAAGAAAUACUCAUAAAAGAUAAUUAGUACUUAAGAUUUCUCAACACUUAUAGCUAUGGCUCCUUCUUUCUCCUUCUUUCUCCUUCUUUUCUCUUUUCCUUAUUUCUUUCUCAACUUUUUUCUUUUUUUUUUUUCAUUCUGCAUAAGCUUUUGCUUCUUUGAAUUGGGCAGCCACUUUUUGCCCUUUUGUUUUUGUUGGCAGAUGAGCUUCGGCCCUUCUUGCCUAAAUUUUUCUUCUUUUUUUAUUUAUUUACUUAUAAUUUAUUAUUAUUAUAUUAUUACCAAUACACUCUUAUUUAAAAAAAAUAUAGAAUAUUACAAAAUUUGAUGUAUUACCAGAACAUAACAGAAAAAAAUGGUGGCGUUCAAAGUUUACAGUUAUUCCCGCGACAGGUGAAAGAAGAACCAAGUGCAGAAUCACAUGCUGCAGUUUGAAGUACAGUACAUUACUUCAUAUAUAUGAGUUGUCAACUAAUUUUCACAAUGUAAGACUUCCGAAUUUUAGUUAUUAAGUUGUUGGGUUCUAAAUUAAUGUAUACAAUGGUUAAAUAAGGUUUUAAAUUUUAUGUAUUCAUCUUAUAAGAAUUUUAGCAUUAAAUUUAUUAUAUUUUUCGAUGUAUAGGUUCUUAUCUACUUUGAUUAUAAUUUUAAUGAAUUUUUACUUUACUUUGAGAGUUAUGGGUUCAAAUGAAUCCGCUAAUAACAAAUUAGGCCUGCCCUGAAUAUUUAUGUAUUUAAUGAAUUUCUUGAAGUCAUAGACAUAGAGAGUUUGGAAAAAUCGUUAUUGGGUUAUGGUCAGAACAAAUGAAUAAACUAGAUGAAGUUAGUCCAGUUCAAAUGAAUAAACUAACAUAAACUAAGUGAACUAGUGAUUUGUAUUCUAUUUUCUGCAAAUUUAAGCACAACUUAUAUAUUAUCAAAAAGUUAAUCUUUAGUUUAUAUGUUGUAUAUUGUUAAAAUAUUUUAGAUAAUAAUUUUAAUUUGGUUAUUUUUUAUAUUUUAAAUUUCCAUAUAAAAAAUUAUUGCGUCGUACCUACUCUGGUAAAAAAAACAGUUUAAUAUCAGCUCUACUUUUUUCAUGAAUGUUCAUAUACUGGAAUUAAUAAUUUGCCAAUACACACGUUUUAUACGUUUUUAUAAAAUUAAGUGGAAAAAAACAUUACAUGUAGGACCAAUCGAGUAUGUCACAACAAUCGAGUAGUACUAUAUAACUUUUAAUUUUCUUUUUUCUUUUUUUUCUUUGGAUGAAAGAUUUACUCUUUCAUUCUAAGUGUCUUAGUAGGCGUUUGACAUAACAAUUGUAAUUUUAAAAGAAAAAAAAUAAUAUUUGGAUUAAGUGGAAAAAAUAGCAAUUGAAACUUGAAAUUAUAUUGACUUCAAAAAUUUACAAUUUUUUAUUGACAAAGCUAUUUUUGAAAAAUAAUUUUGAAAAGAAAAAAAGAAGUUAGGGAGAAACGUGGCUUUAAUUUUUAUAAAGAAAAGAAUAUCUAUUUUCACUACUCAAAUCUGUAAUGUAUAAGUUAUAUGGAGAUAACUUUAUUGUUAUUUCAAGUCUCUUCUUCCAAAAUUUAUAUGUUGUAUAUCGUUAAAAUGCUUUUUCAUAAUAUAGUAGAUAAUAAUUUUUAUUUGGUUAGUUUUUUAUAUUUUAAAUUUCCAUAUUAAAAAUUAUUGUGUCGUACCUACUCUCGUAAAAAAUAUUUAAUAUCAGCUCUACUUUUUUCAUGAAUGUUCAUAUACUGGAAUUAAUAAUUUGCCAAUACACACGUUUUAUACGUUCUUAUAAAAUUAAGUGGAAAACAACAUUACAUGCAGGACCAAACAAAUGUCACACCUACUAUAGUACUAUGGUGAUAAAUUAUGGAGUAACUUUACAAUUACGACUUGACGUAUGUCACAACAAUCGAGUAGUAUUAUAUAACUUUUAAUUUUCUUUUUUCUUUUUUUUCUUUGGAUGAAAGUUUUACUCUUUCAUUUUAAGUGUCUUAGUAGGCGUUUGGACAUAACAAUAGUAAUUUUAAAAGAAAAAAAAGUAAUAUUUGGAUUAAGUGGAAAAAAUAGCAAUUGAAACUUGAAAUUAUAUUGAAUAUAUAUUUCACUUGACAAAAUGUUGCAGUUUUGUGACUAUUUUCACUACUCAAAUCUGUAAUGUAUAAGUUAUAUGGAGAUAACUUUAUUGUUAUUUCAAGUCGUGGAGAGAAAAGUUUUUCUGAAAUUUUUUAACUCAUUUUCAAAAAACUUCAAACAUUUACAAAAUUUUAUUGAUAAAGCUAUUUUGAAAAAUAAUUUUGAAAACAAAAAAAGAAGUUAGGGAGAAACGGGGCUUUAAUUAUUUUUUUUCAUCUCUAACAAUAUUGUUUUGUUUUUGCUUCUUCCUUCUUCAUAGAACACUAUCUUCAUGCCGGUACUCUAGACUCUCCUUCCAGAUAUUUUUAUAAAGUCUGGAGGUUUAGUAUCAGGGUUGUAGGAUAGCGGAUCCUAGAGUUUUUUGUACUUCUCACCCGGGGUUGGGUGAGGCUUGGCAGGGCUAUCCAUAGAUGAUUUGUGUCUUGGAGUGUGUCUCCCUUAGAAUAGUUAUUUAUGGAAGUUACUGUAUGAUAUUAUUGCAUGCUAUUUUAUUUAUGGUUCUUAUAUUUAAAUAAUUAUUUACGCUAUUUCUACUGGAGUUAAUAAUGCUCAUUUGUUUUUGUUUUUUUUUCAUUUCCUUCACUAAGCCGAGGGUCGAUUGGAAACAGCCUCUCUACCCUUUCGGGUAGGGGUAAGGCUCAUCUACAUNNNNNNNNNNNNNNNNNNNNNNNNNNNNNNNNNNNNNNNNNNNNNNNNNNNNUUUCGGGUAGGGGUAAGGCUCAUCUACAUAUUACCCUCCCCAGACCCCACUUUGUGGGACUAUACUGGGUUGUUGUUGUUGUUGUUGUUAAUAUAUUGUGUCGCAUUACAUCGAAAACUUUGGUAUAGAUCGAUACUGUCCGUUGAUAGGCUUUUCUCGGAAGAAUGUGCAUUUUUAAUAAGGUUAGGUUGAUUUUUAGCUCACAUUAAUCCAUAAGUAACUUUGCUAAGAUAUUAUUAAAAUAAGUUUUUAGCAUCAUUCGAGAAUGUUUAAGUGUAAUUCGGACGAGUUUGGCCAAGUUUGAAAGUCGAAAUAGGUGUUUUGAUUGUCGAUUUGUAGUUUGAAGUUUUGGUGUAAUUUGAGGCCUUGAACAAGUUAUUUCGCCAUGUUUGAGCUACUAUUUUUUUAGAUAUGGUACAUUCUUUUUAGUGAUCUUGAAGAGCAAAGUGUUGUUCUGGUCCUUGUGAAUCGCGAUUGCAGAAGGAAAUUCGUGAUGGCAUAGAAUGAUUUUAUAUUGUCAGUAAUCUAACUUCGGGAGCAUAUAUCUUGCAAUUUAUAAGAAAUUUUAAGAUGAUUCAAAAAUGAAAGUUGUAGAUCUUUGAAUCUUAUUUUCAGAAAAUUAAAUCGUUUGUCAUUUGAAAUUUUGUACAAAAAGGUAUGCCUAUAAUACUGAAGAGUCUCUAUGAAGAGGAAACAAAUUCGUACAUCGCGACCGCGAGGUUUUGGCCGUCAUCGCGAUGAAGGAAAACGAUGUUGUAACUUUUGUUAAUCGCGACCGCAUGGAUAAUGACGGCGAUCAUGAAGAAGGAGGUCUCACAGGUGUAUUAAGUAUCUAAUUUCGGAACUUUGGCUCAUUUCAUCACUUUUAAUUUCGGAAUUUUUGGCUCAAAUGAAUAAACUAACAUAAACAAGUGAACUAGUGAUUUGUAUUCUAUUUUCUGCAAAUUUAAGUACAACUUAUUCUUUAGUUUAUAUGUUGUAUAUUGUUAAAAUACUUUUUCACAAUAUAGUAGAUAAUAACUUUUAUUUGGUUAUUUUUUUAUAUUUUAAAGUUCCAUAUAAAAAAUAAUUGCGUCGUACCUACUCUCGUAAAAAAAAAAAGUUUCAUAUCAGCUCUACUUUUUAAUAACUAGUUUGUGCACGUUUUUAUACUGGAAUUAAUAAUUUGCCAAUACACACGUUUUAUACGUUUUUAUAAAAUUAAGUGGAAAAAAAACACUACAUGUAGGACCAAACAUAUAUCACACCUACUAUGGUGAUAAAUUAUGGAGUAACUUUACAAUUACGACUUGACGUAUGUCACAACAAUCGAGUUGUACUAUAUAACUUUUAAUUUUCUUUUUCUUUUUUUUCUUUGGAUGAAAGUUUUACUCUUUCAUUUUAAGUGUCUUAGUAGGCGUUUGGACAUAACAAUUGUAAUUUUAAAAGAAAAAAAAGUAAUAUUUGGAUUAAGUGGAAAAAAUAGCAAUUGAAACUUGAAAUUAUAUUGAAUAUAUAUUUCACUUGACAAAAUGUUGCAGUUUUGUGACUAUUUUCACUACUCAAAUCUGUAAUGUAUAAGUUAUAUGGAGAUAACUUUAUUGUUAUUUCAAGUCUCUUCAUUGCAAUUUUGUGAGUGGAGAGAAAGUUUUUCUGAAAAUUUUUAACUCAUUUUCAAAAAACUUCAAACAUGUUACAAAAUUUAAUUGACAAAGCUAUUUUGAAAAAUAAUUUUGAAAAUAAAAAAAGAAGUUAGGGAGAAACGGGGCUUUAAUUAUUUUUUUUUCAUCUCUAACAAUAUAUUUUUGUUUUUGCUUCUUCCUUCUUCAUAGAACACUAUCUUCAUGCCGGUACUCUGGACUCUCCUUCCAGAUAUUUUUAUAAAGUCUGGAGGUCUAGUAUCAGGGUUGUAGGAUAGCGGAUCCUAAAGUUUUUUAUACUCCUCACCCGGGGUUGGGUGAGGCUUGGCAGGGCUAUCCAUAGAUGAUUUGUGUCUUGGAGUGUGUCUCACUUAGGAUAGUUAUUCAUGGUAGUUACUGUAUGAUAUUAUUGCAUGCUAUUUUAUUUAUGGUUUAUAUGUUUAAAUAAUUAUUUAUGCUAUUUCUACUAGAGUUAAUAAUGCUCUUUUGUUUUUGUUUUUGUUUUUCAUUUCCUUCACUAAGCCGAGGGUCGAUUGGAAACAGCCUCUCUGCCCUUUCGGGUAGGGGUAAGGCUCGUCUACAUAUUACCCUCCCCAGACCCCACCUUGUGGGACUAUACUGGGUUGUUGUUGUUGUUGUUGUUAAUAUAUUGUGUCGCAUUACAUCGAAAACUUUGGUAUAGAUUGAUACUGUCCGUUGAUAGGCUUUUCUCAGAAGAAUGUGCAUUUUUAAUAAGGUUAGGUUGAUCUUUAGCUCACAUUAAUCCAUAAUUAACUUUGCUAAGAUAUUAUUAAAAUAAGUUUUUAGCAUCAUUCGAGAAUGUUUAAGUGUAAUUCUGGCUAUUUGGCCAAGUUUGAAAGUCGAAAUAGGUGUUUUAAUUGUCGAUUUGUAGUUUGAAGUUUUGGUGUAAUUUGAGGCCUUGAACAAGUUAUUUCGCCAUGUUUGAGCUACUAUUUUUAUAGAUCUGGUACAUUCUUUUUUGUGAUCGCGAAGAGCAAAGUGUUGUUCUGGUCCUUUGAAUCGCGAUUGCAGAAGGAAAUUCGUGAUGUCAUAGAAUGAUUUUAUAUUGUCAGUAAUCUAUUUUCGGGAGCAUAUAUCUUGCAAUCUCUAAGAAAUUUCAGGAUGAUUCAAAAAUGAAAGUUGUAGAUCUUUGAAUCUUAUUUUCAGAAAAUUAAAGCGUUUGUCAUUUGAAAUUUUGUACAAAAAGGUAUGCCUAUAAUACUGAAGAGUCUUUGUGAAGAGGAAACAAAUUUGUACAUCGCGACCGCGAGGUUUUGGCCGUCAUCGCGAUGAAGGAAAACGAUGUUGUAACUUUUUUUAAUCGCGACCGCAUGGAUAAUGACGGCGAUCAUGAAGAAGGAGGUCUGACAGGUGUAUUAAAUAUCUAAUUUCGGAAUUUUUGGCUCAUUUCAUCACUUUUAAGUUCUUGAAGCUCAUGUGGGGCGAAUUGGGGUAAUUCUUGAAGAUCGUUUUUGCGACAUAUUAUAAAAUAAGUAAUUCCUGCUUGUUUUGAGUUAAAUACAUGGGUUAUAUAUGAAUUUUAACAUGGAAAUUUUUUAAAAAUUAUGGAAUUUUUUUAAGAAAACCUAGAAAUAGUAUUUUUAGAUUUUGACUACGAAAUUGGACAUGGAAUUAAGAAUAAAUUAUAUAGAUGAGUUCGCGGUAUUAUUACUAAUUUUUAUCUUUUAAAAUUUUCGUAAUCUAGACACAUGGGACUGAGAUUUGACUUUUUUGACUUUUCGAACGGAGUUGAGAAUUAUUAUAAACUGUUAAAUUGUAAGCGUUGGAGUAUAUUUUGAUUGAUUUGCAUGUUGUUUGAGUAAUUCCAGAUUGUUUCUCUUUGAGUCGAGAAGUUAGAGAGGCAUUGGAGCUAGUUAUGAUAUUUCAGAGUGAGGUAAGUCUCAUGUCUAACCUUGUGAGAGGAGAAUUACUAUGUAGGUGUUAUUCUUAUUAUAUGCUACAUGUUGUGGAAGUUGCGCAUGUAUAAGGUGAUGACUAUCUGUGGGCAUGCUAGAAUUCCUUAUUAUGUAUGGGCAGACUAGGAUUCGCGCAAUAUUUUAUUUGUGUUAGUUGAGUUAUUCUUGCCUGCUUAGUUACUUGAUUUCACAUUACGACUUGAGAGUAGGCUUGCGUAGAGUAAUCGAAUUGCUAUUGUAAGGAAUUUGACGAGCUACUUCAUUGGCCACGGAAUAAUUAUGCUUCCCUUACGAAUUUCUCUCAAUUUGUGUGCUUUCAUCGAAUAGCUUCUUUAAAUUUCAUAACUCACAUAUAUAUUUAUGAUUGGGGUCAAAAACCCGUUAAAGCUUCUUAUUCUAAUAGGAUCAAGUCGUUCUCCUCGGCAGAAUUAUGUACCACACUCUUAUGGGAUCAAAUCAUUCCUCUCGGCAGGAUAUUGUAACACACUCUUGUGGGAUCAGUCCAUUCGCCUCGACAGUAUCAUAUUCUUAUGAGAUCAGGUUGUUCUUCUCGUUAUUACUAUAAAACACUCAUAUGGAACCAAGUCAUUCGCCUCGACAACUUCAUAAAAUACUCAUAUAAGAUCGGGUCAUUCACCUCGCCAGAAUCAUGCAUAAUAUUUGAUAAGAAGCUAGUGUCUCCGUGAGUUUUCAUUGUUUGAGUUGUGACGACCUAUCUGUUGAGGACCAUUUUAUAUAUAUACUCCGAUUGAGGCGAUAUUUGAUAAUUGAGAGCUAGUGUUCACUGUUUAGAGAAGGAUCAUACCACGUACCUAUAUUUGCUCACACUGUUCAUUUAUCAUGCCUCCUACUUGUUUACUUUUUAUUGUACUUGAUUUAUUGGACCACUAGUAAGUGCCGAUAUCGAUCCCGCAUUACUACUUCUCCGAGGGUAGGCUGUAUAUUUACUGGGUACGCAUUAACUUACGUAUUUAUGUUGCACUUCUGCACUUAUUGUGCAUGUAUAUAUUUCUGGUGAUCUUUUGAGCGCAAAGGCACGGCUAUUGCAGGGACUUUAUGGUGAACUGCAUACCAUGUUACAAUCUCCAACAUACAAUGUUUCGAUCACAAUUAUCUACAUUUUUCUAUCUAACAUGCAUUCCAGACUAAUAUUAUAGUAUUAUUGUACCUUCUAGUAGAUACUCACACAACUGUGACAUCAGAUUUUGGGGAUAUUCUAUAAUUGUUAUGAAUUGUUUUAUAUUUAUACACUUUUACUUGUUACUAUUAAUUAAAUUGUACGUAACUACUAUUUAUUUUAAUAAAUUGAACUCUCUAUUUAAAUAAGAUUCGUAAUUUUAAAAAUAGUAUAAUGAAUAAUUAAGGCUUGGCUUGCCUAACGGCUAUAUUGGGCACCAUCACAGCUUAUGAUUUUGGGUCGUGACAUAUAUGACCAUAAUAAAAGAAAAACUCUUAUUUGAUAAUAAAUAUUUUUAUAAAUAAUCAAAGUUUGUAAGGGUUGGACGGGUUGGACAAUGACCUGAAUUUUACCCCAUCUUGAGCCAACCAUCUCGGCCCAAGUAUGACCCGCUCAUUUAUACUCGUCCAGAAUCGGCCAAUCUGCUCAUUUAUUGACUUUACUUAUUUUGACGUGUCAAAAACUAGCCCAAUCCACCAAUUCAACACCCUUAUGUAAAAUAUUAUAAAGGAGAAACUAACAGAAGUGAAAGUUAGCAAAAUGGACAAAUUCAUUAAAAGUACAGUGCAAGAUUGCACAAAGGGUUGAAGUGCCACACUUAUUUAAAGUGUAAUAAAAGGCUACUAAAAGCCAAUUAAAACACAACAUUAGCUACACUUUUAAGAAAGGUAGAAACUUUAUUAUGUGUGACUCUCCAUCCUUAAUUUAUUCUAAUCUCUAAUUAGUUAUCCAUUAUCUCUUCUUCAAGCAAAGCUGCAGCCAAAGUUUUUGCUUCCUCAGCUAAAGUUUCAGCUCCUGUUUUGAUCAUCUUCUCAUCAAACACACAUGGCUUAGUGCAUAGACACCUUCUGAGGAUUUUGCUACAAUGACCAUCAGUAAAUUUCUCACUGAUACAAGCUUUUCUGCAUGGUGGUUUGGUAAGGCAUAUUCCAGGGAAUGUAUUGCUUUCUCUUUUGCAAUUUUUAGCUUCCACAUCUACAAUCAUUUACAAGUACUUACCAAUGUUAGAACAAAAGAAAAGAUAGAAUUGAAAUAAACCAUAAAAAAAACAGGAAUAUAUUCAAGGUUCUUAAACAUUCAUACAUAUAUACAUACAUGUGUGUAUAUAUAUAAGGGCAACAUAGUGCAUAAAGGGUCCUGAAAAUCGGGCCGCAUCCCAAGGGAUGUAAUAUAGAUCGACAUCAUACCCUAAAAAAUAUACUGCCCCUGUACACUAUUUUGGAAGAACUAAUGCGAACACAAUUUUUUCAGGAUUUUUCAAAGUUACCUAUACUAUAGAUUAAUUCGUCAUUUUAACAACAAAUACAUCAAAAUGAUAACCACACUUGAUAACUAAACCAGUCAUAGCUUUUAUAUUUAUUUUCUUAAAAGUAGACUUGGGUAAUUAAGUGACUGGAUAGCAAGAAAUAGAAUUAUAUUUUAUUAUUUUUAUGGGGUUUUAGAGGAAUAAAUGGAGACAAACCAU